GCCGAGGUAGCUCAGGGGUAGAGCAAUGCUUUCGUAAAGCAUUGGUCGGGAGUCCGAAUCUCCCCCUCGGCU
rnacentral:tRNA from 1 species